CCUCUUCUCUCUUCCCCAAGUGCUGCAGCCGCCCCCUGUCCAUUCUCAAGUUUUUUGCAGCAGCCAUCUCCUCAACCCUAGCCGCCACCCCCCCCCCCCAUCUCCUCUUCUCCAAGUGUCGUUCUUCCUCGUCGGAUCUUCUUCGUGUGGGUGCAAGUUUCAAUUGGAGAAUUGGUGGGAGGAAGGAAGGAGGAAAAAGGUGGAACUCAAGGUACUUGAUACAUGUUGGGAAUGAGGGGAGUAGCAGCACGUCCACUUUCACUCUCACAAUAACGCUGCCCAGGCGCAGCCAUGAUUUAAUUAGAAACUUAUUGUCAAAGGAAGUUUGUUUCUUUUAACUAGUCAUGCGCACUAGUUAAUCCAGUUCAUGUCGUAUGUUUAACUUAUCUUUGCUAGCCGAUUAAUAAUACUUAGUAUGUUUUGUCA